GAUGAACGCUGGCGGCGUGCCUAAUACAUGCAAGUCGAGCGAACGGACGAGAAGCUUGCUUUUCUGAUGUUAGCGGCGGACGGGUGAGUAACACGUGGAUAACCUACCUAUAAGACUGGGAUAACUUCGGGAAACCGGAGCUAAUACCGGAUAAUAUUUUGAACCGCAUGGUUCAAAAGUGAAAGACGGUCUUGCUGUCACUUAUAGAUGGAUCCGCGCUGCAUUAGCUAGUUGGUAAGGUAACGGCUUACCAAGGCAACGAUGCAUAGCCGACCUGAGAGGGUGAUCGGCCACACUGGAACUGAGCCACGGUCCAGACUCCUGCGGGAGGCCGCAGUAGGGAAUCUUCCGCAGUGGGCGAAAGCCUGACGGAGCAACGCCGCGUGAGUGAUGAAGGUCUUCGGAUCGUAAAACUCUGUUAUUAGGGAAGAACAUAUGUGUAAGUAACUGUGCACAUCUUGACGGUACCUAAUCAGAAAGCCACGGCUAACUACGUG
rnacentral:rRNA from 1 species